UAGCUCAGUUGGUCAGAGCAGACGGCUCAUAACCGUCCGGUCGUAGGUUCGAGUCCUAC
rnacentral:tRNA from 1 species